ACAGAGUAGAUGGUUUGCGUCAAGUGUAUGUGGAUGGGGUGUUGCCACAUAACGAAGCUGAUCUUUGCUUGCAUCUGAUGUCUCCUAGAGUAGGAACAUUGGUCCUGGCUGAGAGUAGCGCGGUAAACCAUUGCAUCCGCUGU
rnacentral:ncRNA from 17 species